GUGACAUGAAAUUUGGGUUAAUUUUUGAGUUGUGGACACAUUCAGCACUCAUGAGUUGUUGCUGUUGUUGUAUAUAUGCUUGAAUUAAAAGAAGCAUAAAAGUUGAAUUGAAAACUGAGGUUUGAAGCAUGCACGUUUGGAAACAUUUUAGCUUGCGAGAGACAAAGAACUGUCUGAUUGUGUGUUUUUUUUGUCUUGAUGUAUA
rnacentral:lncRNA from 1 species